rnacentral:lncRNA from 10 species
CUGGAACGCCCGAGGAGACAAAGUGGGUGCCAGCGCGUCCGACGGCUCUGUGUGUGUUUUGGAUCUGCGGAAGUAACCACAAAAUAUUAUCGAAAAAAGAAAAGAAUUCUAAUGACCAGCCGUGAAUGUGUAGGGUUGCAGCUCUAUUCUCCAAAACUGUAGGAACUUGACUUGCGUUAGAGUGUACUCUGAAACCAACUCGUCUCUGGCCGCAGGAGUCUAUAUGUUUUCGUAAUCUUCAUCAAGAAGUUUUUAAAAGGCAAGCAAAAACAGAAGCAAAUCAUAUCAAACGGGGAUAGAAUGGUUUCCACUGAGGACAUUCAGCCUGGGAAGGAGGAAGUCACCAGCUCGAGGCGUGUGGAUUGGUUUCCACCCGGAACAGGCUCUGUGAUGGCUGAAUGGAAAGAAACGUAAAAAGCUGUGCCAAAAAAAAAGCAAAAUGCUGUGAUAAACCAAACAGGGAAGGGGGAAAAACCCUCCUCCUUGGGAUUUUUUUUUUUUGUUUUCCCUAACAAUUUGGACACUACAAUUGCUCUCACAAAGGAGGUUCAAAGACCAGUUUGUACCGAUGAAACGCGCAACUUUGUAAUCCCAACACUUUCUAUUUUCUAGAAUCUUCUUUGUUCAUUGGGUGGUUUUUCAGUCGGCUGGAAUUCUAUCUUCUGGGGGCCUUCCGUCUGAGAUGGAAGCUGUCUUGGGCUUGUUGUCUCUUCCUUCUGUUGCUCCCUGCCCCUCCCCCUGCCUUUCCACUCUGUCUGGUGAGCUCUGCUUUUUCAGUGCACCAUCAAGAGAUGCAGCCCCGUGGACAUGAAGACACAAUCUCCCACGGACAGCUUUCCCCCUUCCGCCCUCUCCCACCCUCUCCUCCCCUUGCGCUCGCGCUCGCGCUCGCUUUCUCACUGGCGUGCUCUCUUUCUCUCUCUCUCUCCCUCUGUACCUUUCUCAUAGUUGCUUCAGAUCUUAGGUCUCAAGGGCACUUUGGCGCGUAGUAAGUGCUUUAUGUAAGAAGGCAGGGCAGGGGGGCUUUUUACAGGAGAAAAAAAAAUGACUUAUAAGAGAAAGAGCCUGGAGUAUUUUUG